AUGCUACCACUCUCCUACGCGCCACCGCUACCGCCGCCACAGUCGCGACCGAACCCCACCCCUAGCCACAAGCCCAAGCCCCAGCCGUGCGUGCUUCUCUUCCCUGCCGCCCUCCGAACGGCGGCCGCGGCGGCCGCCAUCUCCUUCUCCCUCCUCGCCGGCAACGCCGCGGCUGUGGCGGCGGUGGAGCAGCCCCCGGAGAUAUGCCGCGGCCAGGACGACGGGAGGGAGGUAGAGGUGAAGGCCGAGGCGGUGACGAACGAGCAGCUCGUGGAGGAGGCGUGGGAGGUGGUCAACGAGGGCUUCCUCCCCGACGCCGGCAGCCGCCCGUGGUCACCGGAGCUGUGGAUGCAACGGAAGCAAGAUAUCCUUCAAGGUUCAAUCAAAUCCCGCUCUAGAGCCCACGACAUCAUCACGAAAAUGCUAGCUAGCCUGGGUGAUCCAUAUACAAGAUUCCUGUCGUCCUCAGAUUUCUCGAAGAUGUCGAAGUAUGACAUGACGGGGAUUGGGUUGAACUUAAGAGAGAUUCCUGAUGACAAUGGUUCUUUAAGGUUGGUGGUAUUAGGAUUGAUACUAGAUGGGCCUGCUCACUCUGCUGGUGUUAGACAGGGUGAUGAGCUUUUGUCUGUCAAUGGUAUCGAUGUAAGAGGUAAAUCUGCAUUUGACGUGUCGUCCAUGCUGCAAGGCCCAAAGGAAACUUUUGUUACAAUUAAGGUUAAGCAUGACAGCUGUGGUCCUGUUGAGUCAAUGAAAGUGCAAAGGCAGAUGGCUGCUCGCACUCCAAUUUUCUAUCGUUUGGAGAAAAGAGACAAUGAGAAUUCAUCUGUCGGAUAUAUUCACAUUAAAGAAUUUAAUGCAGUGGCCAAAAAAGAUUUGGUCAGCGCACUGAAACGUCUACAAAAUUCAGGUGCCUCCUAUUUUGUUUUGGACCUGAGAGACAAUCUUGGUGGACUAGUGCAAGCUGGAAUAGAGAUUGCAAAGCUCUUCUUGAACAAAGGAGACACGGUCAUUUAUACUACUGGCCGGGAUCGUCAAGUCCAAAAUACAAUUGUUGCUGACAGUGGACCUUUGGUUACAACUCCUGUGAUGGUACUGGUGAAUAAUAGGACAGCAAGUGCCAGCGAAAUAGUCGCUUCAGCACUUCAUGACAAUUGCAAAGCUGUUCUUGUCGGUGAAAGGACUUUUGGCAAGGGCUUAAUCCAAUCAGUAUUUGAACUUCAUGAUGGUUCUGGUAUUGUCGUCACAGUUGGCAAAUAUGUCACGCCAAAUCACAAAGACAUCAAUGGAGAUGGAAUAGAACCAGACUACCGCCGUCUUCCUGAUCUCAAUGAAGCCAGAGAUUACCUUUCGCGUUGCCAAAGCAAGAAAUUAAGUUGA
rnacentral:rRNA from 1 species